rnacentral:rRNA from 1 species
AGUGAUGCCUUUAGAUUGGGGACACAGUUGGAAACGACUGCUAAUACCGAAUGUGCCUUAGGGUGAAAGAUUUAUUGUCUAGAGAUUGGCUCGCGUCAGAUUAACUAGUUGGAGUGGUAACGGCACACCAAGGCGACGAUCUGUACUUGGUCUGAGAGGAUGACCAGGCACACUGGAACUGAGACACGGUCCAGACUCCUACGGGAGGCAGCAGUGGGGAAUUUUCCGCAAUGGGCGAAAGCCUGACGGAGCAAUACCGCGUGAGGGAGGACGGCUUUUGGGUUGUAAACCUCUUUUAUCAGGGAAGAAUCGAUGACGGUACCUGAUGAAUCAGCAGCCGGCUAACUCCGUGCCAGCCACCGCGGAAAACGGAAGAUGCCCGCGCUCUCCCGGAAUUAUU